GAAAGGAAUGGGACCAAAACAAGACAGAAACCCGGAAGGGCAUACAUUAAAUCCUGCAGCUCUGUGUCUUAACGCUCAGGACAGGUUGCGGCCCCGAGAUGGGGACUCCGAAAGGCUUGGGUAGCGUUUCCUACUCUGCUUCAUUGGUAAGUGCUGCAUAUUUCGACAUCUGUCUUUCUCUUGGAUUAAAAAUAACCCCCAGAAGACCAACAGGGAGCCCGAAGAGGUGAAUUUACUGGCUCAGUGUUUGUGAGGGCGAUAACAGCUACCCGUCAGUAUCCGCUGACCCCAGCCCUGGAAGAAUCGGUCGUACUUGGCUAGACAUGGACAGCAGGGGGUAGAGUCAGAGAGAAGGGGACAGAGGCUGGGCCUCUCCAGGCUCCAUUUCCUCGUUUCAGCUGCCUGGCCUGACCCGAGCUU